GGAUGAAAUGAAGUGCCUUGUGUCCGCAUGGGUCCUCCAGCAUUGGAAUGCACUAGCCAACUGGCAUUGAGCACUUCUGUCUCACUUUCCAGCUGCAUUUUUAGUCGCUGUUCUGAGACCGGUCUCAGUACCAUUUUGUAGCUAAGGAAACAGAUGCAGCCAUUGUGAAACUUCAAGCCACAUUAUUAUAGUGAAAAGAGACAAAAAAAUAGGUCAUCACUGGGUGUUUUGGAACAUUUGAAUAAUCAAGCUAAAUGGAUUAAAUUAACUAUCAAGUAAAAUCUUCUUUGAAAAAUCAGUUACCAAUAUAGCAGGAAAUAAUAUUAUUCUGAAUUCCAUGCCUCAUAUGGAUCCAAAUAUUUGUAAAUCUAGUCAUUAUUAAUUCUAUCAAUAAUACUUUUUUUUUUGGACUUUCAAAUAAAUUUUCCAGGAGGAAGUUAAAUCCAUUCCUGGGUGAGCUUAAGUUGAUCCAUGCAAAAUCUAUUCCUUGGCACCAGGCUUCUAGAAUAGGUCCAGGGACUCCAUAUUUUUAUUUGCUCAAUGUUUCUUAUUUGAAGGGAAGCUUGAAUAGUACAGCUACAGAUUUUCACAUCUAAUUUUCACCAAAAUUCAGAUGAGUAUUGCCAUGCCUCACUUACCCUAAAAAUAACAAAUUUGUCAUUCUGUUACCAGCAGAAUUAAGUGUGUGGCCCAUGUUUCCAUGGUUGGAACAAGGACUCCAAGAGGAAGCAUCUAUUUUUCUCACAUCAGAUUGGUGUGGAAGUUAAGGACUUCAAAACAAACUCCCCAAGAAAUGCUAUUAAAGCCACUUCCUCAUGUUUAGACCCUCAGCUGUUGUGGAUCUUAGGAGGGACCCUUCCACAAACUUGUCUUCUCCUUUGAUAUUUUAGCCUCUUAAUAAUUUUAAGUCAACCAUCCAUAGCUGACAGUUUUGCUGAUAAAGUACCUUUAUAAUGACAGACUUGGUGUUUAAAUUUCCGCCUACGUCUUCUCUAAGUUGGUGACCUAAUUGUAGCUGACGCUUCCAGUAGAAAUACUCACUCGGUAACCUCAAGCUAUUUCUGGGCACAGCUGAAAUAAAGCGAAUUGCUUUUUAAGCUGAUGAUUCCAGGUUCUGUGUCUUAUUUUCCAUUUCUUCUUGUCCAUUUUUCCAUGUAAGUUUUAUCUGCUACCUAUAAACCAUGAAAAACAAAUUAUUCCAUUCAAAUCUUUGGAAACGGCUGCUCACUGGCACACAAUCACAGUGUCUGAUAGUUUUUCUGGUUUUGAAUUUCUGGAAGGGGAAUCCUCCUCGUGAGGAGACUUCACUUUCCAUCAGUAAUGGGGAAAACUGUUUCCCUCGGGAUAGCGGAGGUCGUUUUAAAAGAGAAAACUCAGCGGAAAUGAAAAUCCAAGCAACUGAUUUUUAAUUCAUGUCUUUUUGUUCAGUGAUGUUGGUCCUCAUUCUGCCUAUGAGAUGGGAAUAAAGAGAGAUUUCGGGAAAAGUGUGAGGCCAAACAUGGCUACUAUUUAAUACCACCCUCAAAAUUUGAAACAAGAUCCAACUCCUCCUGUCUUCACAGGCAGAAUCCCCCAUCCCCAGGCUAUGUAGGGCCUGAUAAAUGUGGGGUGACCCAUGCUGGCCUGGCUGAUGCCCACUGGCCUGCGUUGGUGAAUACGUUGUGUGGUCUCUUCCUUGGUGUGAUUUUCCCUGGGUACUUGCAAGAUGCCUUAUUUAGAAAGAAAACAGCAAGGCGAAUGGUUUCAGAGAACUUCAUCCACUGUUUAUAUGAAGAGACUGAGACUCAGAGGGGCUCCACAGCCUGCUCUCCAGUGACAAAGCCAAGACCAAAGUAAUAACAGCGGAUCUUUAUAUAACACUUGCUGUCAAGCCAGGUACUUAGACAUAAGCACUUUAUGUAUAUUGACUCGUUUAAUCCUUCCACCAACCUGCAGGAUAGGUGUUGUUUAAUCCCAUUUUAUAGCAAGUAGCUUGCUUUGGGCCAUGCACUAGCAGGGGCAGAGCUGUGCUCUGGGGCACGUGACCUGGCUCUGGAGCCCACUGAGCUGAACCCAGCACCCUCUGCCUGGCGGAGCCAGCUCUCCUGCCUCUUGGUCCUACCCUCUGUUCUCUGCUAGGUUGCUUUGGGACCAAGGGGAGAAAAAAACUUGUUAAUGAAAACGGAGCCCAACAUUUCAAUGCUGGUGUUUUUAUACUACUAUGAACGUCAUCAGAGUGCUAGCUAAUGCACUUACAAACAGAUACGACUUUAAACCAGAUGCGAAAUAGACUUGCCAGAUAAUAUACAGACAUGUCUUUAAGCGAAACAUUGGUACCUUGCUGGUAAAAAGGUACCUCGCUGGUAACAACCAUUCAGAAGGAAAGGCUAUCACAAAAUGAUUAAUAUAGUCCUCCCCAGCCAGAAAGGCUAAAUAGCAGUCUGGUGGUUUUUGUUAGCAUUUGUUUGUGAAGGUCUGCCUGAAUGAGACUGGAAGUCCCUCCAAACCACAUAUGUGCCUAUGUAAUUCUCUUGUAGAGCACCUGAUAAAAUACCUAUGGAAAGAUUUUUUUAAAUAACUAUUGUUUGAUGGCAGUUAUAGAGAGUCCUUGGCAUUGAUCUCUGAGUAGCCAACCUAUGCAAAAAAAAAAAAAAAAAAGCAUUGGUUGUAAAGACUAUGACUUAUAAGAAAGAAUUAUAAGGGUUUAUAGCAUAUAAAGCUUGAGGCAUGUCUUGGAGCAUAUAUCUAUGCACAAAACCAAAUCCAGAAAGAAUCUCUCUUAUUUCAGGGCCUGUGGGUCACAGAUGGUAUUCCAGAACCCAGGCAUGGGAAUAUAUGCAGCAACCUCCAGACUUGACAGUUCCCAAUCAGCUGUGCUUGGCUGGAGCCUUCAGGGCUCAGAGCUGGGGGUGAAAGUGGAAAUUACAAGAGAUCUUUACUCUCUCCAACUCAAGGGACGAUGGUCUGUCUCCUAAGAGCCUACCUGGCCCAGGAUGGGCAAAGAUGCCCGUGUGUGUGUGUGUGUGUGUGUGUGUGUGUGUGUGUGUUUGAGAAGUCUGGCAAGGGAGAGACCCCAAGGUCACCUGAAAAUCUCCUCUUUGCAUCCACGUGGCUUAGGAAAACAUGCGUCAAUAUCAGAAAAAUAAGCCUUCCAGUAGACAGAGGUUUAAACAAUACAACAGCCCACAGUUUAUCAGUAGAACUGGCAGAAACAGCAGACUAUCCCUCAAUUACCCUCUACAGCUGUUCAUAAAUAUUGGACUUUCCUUGCCUUGAUCUGGCUCACAAAAUGAGCAGCAAAUGUUGAAAAGUUUAGUGCUUUUUAACCAGGAAACACACAACUGUGAAAUAUGUGAAGCUGUGGUAGACAAGUUUAAAAAAAAACAAGAACUUUCCAAUAAAGUAAUGGUCUCUCAGUGACAUCUUGUUAUUCCAGUAAAAAUAGAUCCCCUAACUUUGACAGUAUAUUUUUCCUUCUGGGAAAGUACAAAUAAUAACACAUCAAAAUUAUGCUUUUUGUCACAUACCUGAGGACAGUACAGAGGGAAGGAAAGUUUAUUUUUUAUUUGUAAAACAACAUUUCCAUUCAUUUACUCCACAAGCACCACUUAUUUUUGAGUUCUGUAGAAAACUAACCUAGAAUGAGCACCCUCAUACAUAUCAACAGAAAGUAAGUCAUCAUGGCAGAAUUUUUUACAGAUUUCUCAUUGGUCAAAAAGUACUGUUUAUGGGCUGAGCGCGGUGGCUCACGCCUGUAAUCCCAGCACUUUGGGAGGCCGAGGUGUGUGGAUCACAAGGUCAGGAGAUCCAGACCAUCCUGGCUAACACGGUGAAACCCCGUCUCUACUAAAAAUACAAAAAAUUAGCUGGGCGCGGUGGCGGACGCCUGUAGUCCCAGCUACUCGGGAGGCUGAGGCAGGAGAAUGGCAUGAACCUGGGAGGCGGGGCUUGCAGUGAGCCGAGAUCGUGCCACUGCACUCCAGCCUGGGCAACAGAGUGAGACUCCAUCUCAAAAAAAAAAAAAAAAA
rnacentral:lncRNA from 1 species